rnacentral:rRNA from 1 species
UACAGAGGUCCCAAGCGUUGUUCGGAUUCAUUGGGCGUAAAGAGCUCGUAGGCGGUUUGUUGCGUCGGCUGUGAAAUCCCGAGGCUCAACCUCGGGUCUGCAGUCGAUACGAGCAAACUAGAGUGUUGCAGGGGAGACUGGAAUUCCUGGUGUAGCGGUGAAAUGCGCAGAUAUCAGGAGGAACACCGGUGGCGAAGGCGGGUCUCUGGGCAUGAUCUGACGCUGAGGCGCGAAAGCGUGGGGAGCAAACAGG